rnacentral:rRNA from 1 species
AACGCACCUUGCGCUCCCUGGUAUUCCGGGGAGCAUGCCUGUUUGAGUGUCGUGAAAUCAUCAUGGUCAUGAUCUUUAAUUAAUCAUGGCUUGGUUUUGGAGGUUAUGUUGGCUUUUUAUUAAGUUGACUCCUCUUAAAUACAUUAGCUCAGUGUUUAAUGCUUAGAGCGGUUCACGGUGUGAUGAUCUAUGACCGCUGAGGACAUCUCUCGGGAUGGCCAAGCCUGCCUUGAACUGCUUCUAACUCAUCAUUUCAUGAUAUUUUUCAACUUUGACCUCGAAUCAGGCGGGACUACCCGCUGAACUUAA